UUUGAAUUUUGUGAAGAUGUGCUUUUUGA
rnacentral:piRNA from 1 species